rnacentral:rRNA from 1 species
AGUCGAACGCAAGGCUUCGGCCUUGAGUGGCGCACGGGUGAGUAGCGCGUGGGAACCUACCCUUCUGUGGGGGAUAACCGAGGGAAACUUCGGCUAAUACCGCAUACGCCGGGAAACCGGGAAAGAUUUAUCGCUGAAGGAUGGGCCCGCGUCGGAUUAGCUAGUUGGUGGGGUAACGGCCUACCAAGGCAGUGAUCCGUAGCUGGUCUGAGAGGAUGAUCAGCCACACUGGGACUGAGACACGGCCCAGACUCCUACGGGAGGCAGCAGUAGGGAAUAUUGGACAAUGGGCGAAAGCCUGAUCCAGCAAUGCCGCGUGAGUGAGGAAGGCCUUAGGGUUGUAAAGCUCUUUCGGCGGGGACGAUGAUGACGGUACCCGCAGAAGAAGCCCCGGCUAACUUCGUGCCAGCAGCCGCGGUAAUACGAAGGGGGCGAGCGUUGUUCGGAAUUACUGGGCGUAAAGGGCGCGUAGGCGGCCAUCUUUGUCAGGCGUGAAAGCCCUGGGCUCAACCUGGGAAUUGCGCUUGGGACGGGGUGGCUUGAGUUCGGGAGAGGAGAGUGGAAUUCCCAGUGUAGAGGUGAAAUUCGUAGAUAUUGGGAAGAACACCGGUGGCGAAGCGGCUCUCUGGACCGAUACUGACGCUGAGGCGCGAAAGCGUGGGGAGCAAACAGGAUUAGAUACCCUGGUAGUCCACGCUGUAAACGAUGUGUGCUAGACGUUGGGAAGCCUAGCUUUUCGGUGUCGCAGCUAACGCGUAAGCACACCGCCUGGGGAGUACGGCCGCAAGGUUAAACUCAAGGAAUUGACGGGGCCCGCACAAGCGGUGGACAUG